AGAAAAAACCCAGCUGGCUAAACCGGAGCCACAAGCUCAUUCUUGAAGCUGAGGGAGUGCGUCCACCCCCAUUUGAAUCAUAUGGACUGAUGGGGAGAUCCCCAAAGAAAACUUAAAGAACUAUUAGCAGAAGAAGAGAAAAACGAAAGUACGUCAGCUAAAAUAGCAAAGGUACAUUUCAGUUGAUGAACACGCCCAGCAUUUCUGAAAAGCAUUUUGCCAAGUACCUAUACAACUCCUAUGCAUCUCUGUAAGCCUCGCUCAAGAGGCCCUCCCCCAAAAAGCACCCCUAUCAUCACCCUUCAACUUUCUCCUUGCUCUGAAUUCCAAUGGCACACAAUUUGGCAGCCUGUCUUCUCUCUCCCAGAGAGGUCUUCAGAGAUGAGGACCAUAUAUCACCCUCCUCUUAUACUGUCUGUCCAAAGCAAUGUCAGCUGGAACAAAUCAGAACACAUAAUGUGCACCUGGAAAACAAGCCUCUUUCUAAACAGGGAGGUGAAUUUCAACUCAAACUGAGGACAGGCUUUCCAAUAUGCAGAGCUUCCUAGCAAAUGUGAGACAAGGACUGGACCUCUCUGAUUAGGGAGGCACCAGAGGAGACUUAUGCUCCAUCAGGAGAGUACCUGAGCCAGAUGAAUUUAAAGUUUUGUCUUAAACCUUGUCCUACUGAAACAGAGGCAGAUUUGGAGAGUGCUCUUGGGAGAUACACCUGUAGAGACAUAAGGAAGAUUAGAUUAAACAGAAGGAAAAGCUGACCCACAAGGAAGCUUCAGCUGAGGAUGCAGCCAAUCCUAAAGGCAGUUCUGGAACCAGGAUGGCUCUUCAGAGUUGUUACAAAUUGAGACAAGGUGCUGGUAUUUUGCAUCAGCCAGUAAUUGGCUGUGAGCUCUCCUAUGGGCGGGUAAGGCAGUUCCCCACUCCCAAGGGCAACUUCCAGGGAGGGAUGCAGCUGUGAGCCCAUGCACCUGACAUUCCCAGCAAUGGGGAAUGGAUAUGUUGCUCUUGAGGAGUGGAUGUGGAUGGAGCAUCCAGCAGCCAUUACCUGUUCCAUCUAACCUAAGAUAUUUUGAGAUGCCCACUUGUUUUUGAGACUUAAUGAGAAUUAUUUGGCAUUCUCUAUCUCUGAACUGCUCAUGCCAAAUCUUAGUACCCGAUAUAAGUGGAGUCUGGUUGCAUGAUCAGUUGCUCAGAUCAAAGUGGGAAAAAUAAGAAAAUAAAUAGAAAUUUGGAUUUGA
ensembl:lncRNA novel transcript